rnacentral:tRNA from 1 species
GCGGAUAUAGCUCAAUGGUAGAGUGUGGCCUUGCCAAGGCUAAGGUUGAGGGUUCGAUCCCCUUUAUCCGCUCCC